rnacentral:lncRNA from 1 species
GGAAAAGACAAAACUAUAGUGACAGAGAACAGAUUAGUGAUUGCCAAGGGCUGGGGGAUAGAGAAGAGAACUGACUACAAAGAGGCACUGGGGAAUUGGGGGGUGGCAGAAAUGUUUGUAUCUUUAUUGGGGUGAUAGUUACAUGGGUGUAUACUUAUAUAAAAAUUCAUCAAGCUAUAUAUUAAGAUUUGUGCAUUUUACUGAAGGAAAAUUGUUUCUCAGUUAAAGCAUUUAAAAAAUGAUGACAAAAAAAACCAUUUUCAGACAAACGGAAACUAAGAGAAUUCAUUGCCAGAAGACCUGCACUAAGAAAUGCUACUAGAAGAGAACUUGAAUCUUCAAGAAGGAAACAAGAGUGCUGAAAAUGGUGAAUAUGAUGGAUGCCAAGACAACUGGUUCUUUCCUCAGACAACUCCAGCAAACCACACCUGACAUCUCAUUAGCCCAAUCCCAGCUCACCUUGCUUGGUACCUUGUUUGGAAAAAGACCUCCCUCUUGGAUUCUUCCAUUUUAAGGAAGGAAUGAUUGAGAGGAGCAGAACAUUGUUUCAAAUUCUCUUAGAAUGGAUUGUAAAUUGUCUGCCGUCAUGCCUGUGGCCAGCUGCCAUUCUCCCAUACUUAAUUCAGAGACUAUUGCUAUUGACAUGUUUCCGAGGAGCAUUUAAUUCAACUGGAUACUCCCAGCACCAAAUCUCCCCUCUAAGAAACAUGGCUGAGACCAAAGAAAGAAGCAAGAAUGCCCUCUGAAGAGCCAGCUCAAUCUCCUGGAGUCAGAGCCAGCAGGUGUGGAACCCUUAUCACAGAAGAAGCACCCUGAGCCCCAAAUCAAAGCUUAUUUCAUCUCAGCACAAAACUUAAGUAAUUUUGUUUUUCUGGUUUCUAUGCCAACAGGCUAGAAGGGUUUUAUACAAUGCUAAUUUCUUGGGUAGAAUUUUAAAGCAAUCCUGCUGUAAGAAAUACUAAAUCCUACUUUGGAAUCCUGUUGACUUAUAUCCUCAGUCCUAUUUCAGGGCUUCUUCCUCUGUCUCCAAUUGACUCCAUGUAUAAUUGUUUACAGCUCUGUCUCCUCUUUCAGAGUAGGUACUUACUACUAUGUCCGAUUAAUAUUUGCAUUCCUCUUUCCUCCAAAAAGCUUGCACAGUGUAGGCAUACAAUAAAUGCUCAUUAAACAUGAAUCA